AAAGAAGAACAAGAAGUCCUGGAAGCGAUUGCUUGGCCCCCACAGAGCCUUGAUCUCAGCAUCAUUGAGUCUGUCAGGGAUUACACGAAGAGACAGAAGAUUUUGAGGCAGUUCUCAGAGAUGUUUGGAACAACGAACCUGCAGAGUUCCUUCAAAAACUGUGUAUUAGUAAAUCUGCCACAGCGCCUGCCAUCUCCUCUGGUGUGCCCGGAGAGCCAUGGAAGGUCAGUUCACUGGAGAGGUACAAAUCUGCCACCAAUCUCACUAAAGCUGCCCAUAAUGUGAUGGUCAAAAAGUCCCCCUGCACAAGAAGGGAGAGCAGCAAAGAGCGGUCUUUAUCACAGGAAGUUUCUGGAUUACUGCACAGAUUUGGAAGAAAUACAGAAGAGCACCAAGAUUCAGGAAGAAUACACAUGAUGAAUGGAUUUAGACAAUAUUUGCUAAUCGCAAUAUUUAGCUUUAAUUUAAAUACAAAGACUCCCAUGGGUUGCCUAUAGGGACAGCAAUUCUGAGGUUGCCUCCUUCUGCAGGGCGGGCCCUUUGCCUGGCUGAUCCCAGAGGAAUUUAGCAGUAGUGCUGACUGUACUGCCCGAUGGAAGGAGAAUCUAUGAAUCUGUAUAUGAAACACAUUCAUCAAAAUUACUGAACAUAAAAUGAGUUCCCCUUUAAAUGCUCCAUGUGUCCUCCAGCUUCAUGGUAAUUGUCUUUGGGUGGGGGCAGAAGAGAAUGGAAUAAACCGCAAUAUUUCCUGGAGCUCGCCACUCAGAGAGCUAAUUGAUGAGAAUUGUCGUCUCGCUGCAGAAUACGGACUCGGCUCUCUCCCGCCAGAUUGCCUGGUCCUGGAUAUUGUGCAUUUUACAUUGUCUGAUCCCAAAGAGCGUCUGCUGUGUGUCACUCCACAGCGACCAGGAGACCUCUGCAAUAAAGUACACCUGUCAUGAGAAGGACACAGAGGAGGGCUUCAUUCCAAAAAUCCUGACUGUCUCUCCGAUCCAAUGGCUUCAAUGCUUACCUUAUGCUGACUUUGCUUGCUGCACGUUUCCUCCAGAGUUGUGACUUGGAAAGUAAGAAAACCAGAGACAGCCAGGAAACUAGCAUUUUCAAAUAAGGCUUAUAGUAAAUGAAGUCUUUACUUUCA